rnacentral:rRNA from 1 species
CCUACGGGUGGCAGCAGUCGAGAAUCAUUCACAAUGGGGGAAACCCUGAUGGUGCGACGCCGCGUGGGGGAAUGAAGGUCUUCGGAUUGUAAACCCCUGUCAUGUGGGAGCAAAUUAAAAAGAUAGUACCACAAGAGGAAGAGACGGCUAACUCUGUGCCAGCAGCCGCGGUAAUACAGAGGUCUCAAGCGUUGUUCGGAAUCACUGGGCGUAAGGCGUGAGUAGGCUGUUUCGUAAGUCGUGUGUGAAAGGCGCGGGCUCAACCCGCGGACGGCACAUGUUACUGCGAGACUAGAGUAAUGGAGGGGGAACCGGAAUUCUCGGUGUAGCAGUGAAAUGCGUAGAUAUCGAGAGGAACACUCGUGGCGAAGGCGGGUUCCUGGACAUUAACUGACGCUGAGGCACGAAGGCCAGGGGAGCGAAAGGGAUUAGAUACCCGGGUAGUC